ACACACACACACACACAAUCAAUUCCCAAAUUAAACCCUAACACACCCACCCCUUAUCUCACCAUAUUCAACAUUUGUCUCACACUCGUCUUUUGCUCCUCCACUACGCCGAUCACCAUCGCCGUUACCUCUAGUAGCCUUGCUGGUCGCCACCGCUGUUAGUAGCCUUGCCAAUCUCUACACUCUUCUGUAUUGAACGAUUCGACCUCUCUGCAAUCUCUCUUUCUCUCUCUGCACCAUCAUCACCGCCUUCAUCUCUCUCUUCCUGGUACGUGUAGGCAAGAAAUUAAGUUGCUGACGUGUUAAUGAAUUAUUGUGGAAGACAAAUUUGUCUAUAAAGAGAAGAACCAAGAAAUAGAAAAGGCAGUGAGCGAAUUUAGGAAAGCCAUAAACGAAUUGGCAAAAGUGAUGAUUUUAUUUAUUGUUCUACUUUUGUGAUGAGGUAAUCAAAAUGAAUCUGAAAGUUGUGGACUAUUUUAGAAGGGCCAGGUUAUAUUCUUUCUUCUUCUUUUGUUUUUUGUUAAUUAUUUUUAUUGAUGGUGAGGUUAGUACCUAUUGCUGCGUAUUAACUUUUUUGCUUGUUCUUUGUGUCCUCUAAAUUACUUCUUUUUGAAAACCUUUUACUAUACUUGCAAAUUCUCAAUUUUGCUUCUCAUGACUGUAAAUUUUUAAUUUUUUUUCGUUGUUCAUGGUCAAUCAAAGACUCACAACUUUGGUAUGAAUUAUGGCAUUUCUUGCACAGUUUGGUUUUUUUACUUGCCUUCUUUGAGGCAUUUACUUUAAAAGUUGAGGCAUUUACGUUUUCAGAGAUCACUCUUCUGUAUUGUUUACUUUUUGCCUUCCUAAUAAAUAUGUGAUUAUGCUUUAUAUUGAGCACAUUUACAUUGCCAAAAACGUGUUGGUACUUCUUUUCUCUGUUUCUUAUUUAGAUAAUUCUGAUUGUUAACUGGAUAAUUUCUUACCUUUUCAUUCAAUUCUGUUUUGCUGACAGUGCUUUGAGUUUUCGUGAUAUACCAUUUCUCAUAAGUAUGACUAUGUUUCAUGAUCUUGUUGUUAUGAUCUCAGGAUUAGACACUGAAUGUGUGUCCAGCUCAGAAGCUAAGAACUAUUAGUUUCUUUGCUUUACUGUGCUAGCUGUCAAUAAUCACAACAAAAAAAUUAAUUUUUUUUGGAACUGCUGGAUGUUUUUGGGUUUUGCUUUUGUUUUUCUGUGUUAUCUUUAGGAUAGUAUACUUUGUUUGGUAAAUAUUUCUUCUUUUUACAGAUCAGUGAGUAUUCAAAGAAGAAUGUUUGUUUCAUCAUGUUUUUAGAUAAGCAAACACUGUUGAAACUGUCAACAGAGGGGAAUGUUCUUGAUGAGAGAGUAUGUAUUGGGUUAUGGAGAAUAGUUAUUGUGAGGAACCUACCCUACAAGGAUAUGCUCAAAACUGGGAAGGUGCCAAAAUUUCUAUCACAUCGUCUCUUCCCUUCUUCUAGGUAUUCUAUUUGGCUUGAUAGCAAGAUGCGACUUCAGACUGAUCCGAUGCUAAUCAUUGAAUUCUUUUUGUGGCAAACUAGAUUAGAGUAUGCUAUUUCAAAUCAUUAUACUCGCCACUGUGUUUGGAUGGAGGUACACCAGAAUAACCGUCUAAAUAAAUGCAACCACACAGCCAUUGAUGAACAGUUCAACUUUUACUAGUCUGAUGGUCUCACCAAGUUUGACCCUUCAGUCCUAAAUACUCUUCUUCCAAGUUGUGCGUGUCAUUGUCUUUUUUUAUUUUGGAGUUUGCCUUUUCCUUAUCCGCAAUUAUUGCCCCUUGCUGCUUAAGUGCUUAUUUUUGUUUGUCAUAUGCUUUGCACUUUGCAGAUGUGCCUGAAGGUUCAUUUAUUGUUAGGCCCAUACACCGAUGUCAAAUUUAUUUUAAUGCCUUUGGUUUAAUGAAGUUAAUUAUUUUACAUCAUGUGAUCAAUUGAGCUUUGCUUAUACCUUGAAGUUGAAGAGAUCGAAUCCAAAAAGGCCAUUCUUUCUAAAUAUGUUCAAGGUGGGUAAUUACUAAAAUAAAAUUAUUCUUUCCAUUACAUUGUGCUUCAGGGACUGUAAUUUACCUAUACUAGGAGAGUAAUGUGGGAGGCUGAUAAACUAGUUGGAAUUUCUAAAUAAAGAAAUAGUGCCCUUACUAUUAACUUGUUCCUUCAAUCUGCUCAUAUUUAUUGACCUUAAAAACCAUACAUUUUAGGUGUUAGCCUCCAAGUGUUCUGCACUUGGCUGGUUAGUUAAACGAAUUUUCAUAAUAUCACUCUUUGAUCAGAAUUUCAGAAUGCUUUUCUGGAUCAUUUGUUUGUUUAUUUUUUAUUUUUAUUGCAUUGACAAUUCAAAUUAAUGUGGCUAGAACAGAUGUGUACUAAAAUAAGGCAUUUUGAUUCCAUCAAACCUUGGAGGUGGUGCAUUUAUUGGACGCAUGCUAGAUGAGGCCUUGUAUAAGGUUUAUUUCAUGUUUGGCCACAAUUGCCUUACGUGUUCUGUUUGUUAUGAUAAAGGAUAUGGACAUAUGACCCAUCAACUCCAACAACAAGAAAUGCGACCAUCUACUGUGGAUCAGAGAUCAUGUCAGUUGAGUGGGAUUGUAAAUCAGACUAUUUGGUAUUUAAUUCAACAUCAUAUGAGUGGGAUUGUAAAUCAGACCGUUUGGUAUUUAAUUCAACAUCAUAUGAACAUGUUUUAUUCAUUUUCAUGUUGGAGGAUGAUGUUUGAUUGUCUAAUACCAGAAAUUCAUGUUUGUAGCUCUUGUUUGCCUUCUUCCUUGAGCCAUUACCACUUAAAGCUUAUGUCCCUUGGAACCUGAGGAAGUUUAUUUAGCUUUCUUUGAUUGCUUGAACUGAAAUAUUAAUCAAGUUUUAUCUAGGGAUUUAUGUUUGAGGUCAUUUCAAGGCUUGAGAAGGAGAAUGAAUCUCUUUGCUAAGUUGAGUGCUUAUACAGGACAUUAUAUAUAUUGACUGAUCAUAAUUGUUGCCUUAUGUCUUUCUGAUAUGCCUACUUACUGAUGGAUUUUGCUUGAUUAAAAAGUUCAAUGCACAUGUUUGCUAUUAUUUAUUUGAAUUAAUGCAGGAGAUUCUUUGACUGACACUGUAUGGUAUGUAUCUUUCCUGUAACUAAAUCUAUUUCUCCAUUGUACUGUAUAUUUUUGUCCUUUAAGUACUAUUGUAGUUAGUUAAAUUAUGUCUAUUGAGUUGCAGCGUUUAUGUAACUUACUCACACCAAUCCCCAUCUUUAAUCAAUGUUUUUAGAUGUUAUCAUCAUACUUGUUUAUUAUUUAUGUUUUUGGAAUAUGAAUCAUUCUUAGGACCUAGUUUUUUUUAUAGGCAUGGCACGAGUUAUAUGGAUAAGUUGGGAUUUGUAAGCUUAAUUGUAUGGAACAUGAAAACAUGGAAGGCUAUGGUAUGCCCUUGUGUGUCCCACAAAUUGUACAUUAAUGUAGAAAGUCAAUUUGUCUCUGACAGACAUCUAUUAUGUCUUAAUAUUUCUCAACUUUAUUGAAGACAGUCCUUCCCCUUGGUGAAGAUCCUCCAGCAAUUACUUCCUUAUGCUUCAACCAUAACGGGAAGAUUUUAGCAGCUGUUGCAACUGAUGGAAUGAUUCACAUGUUCGGCUCAAAUGCGUUGCUAUUACUAUUCUUUGGUACACCAAGUAAAAAUACAUGAAAAAGGAAUCAUUUUCUUUCUUUUGGGGCUUUAGAGUUGGAGGGAGGAAGAGGGGAUUAAACAUUUCUACUUUGAAAGGAAACUUGUCCCCAAUCUCAUGCUGCACGCAAGACAUGAGCAACAAAUGUAUACAUCUUAAUUUGGCAAAGAUAUGUCUGCCGGAUUACAAAUUACUGGGUGGCCAGCUCAUGAUUCUGCUAUUAGCUCUGUUCUUUUUGGGCCUGAUGAGACAAGUAUUUUUAGCUUGGAGAUAGAUGGAAAGGCAAGUGCCUCUGAUUCCUCUGAUUUUAGCUCGGGAAAUUAUAAUAUUUUGUUUCUAUGAAUUGAUUUAUAUAAUUUUUCUUUGCCUAAAAGUUUUUUCUGUGAUAUGUACAUGCUGUCAGGCUUCUUAUACUUGUGACUUGUUCAAUUGUAGGUACCUUUGGAUAUUAUUAGUCAUUGAUCUAACGUUGAUGAUUGUAUACUUGCUUGAUCCGAUUAAUUCUAAAAUAAACACAAGCCUUGAAAUUGUAAUAAACACAUAAGUUUGGCUAGUUAGUACAUUUUUAAGCAA